UCAGGUUCUGUAACGCUUCAACUGUGAUUCCACCAGAUUAGCGUGUUGCCCCAAGUCUGCGUGUGGGGCCUGGAGGUCUGAGGAUGGCAGAAGUCGGAGACCCACCCACUGUACAUCAGAAGGCUCUGUGAGGUCCUGUGAUAUAUGCUUGAACAAUGCAGGUGGGGAAACUGAGGCCCACCAGGCAUAAGCCUCCCCGGAGAUCCCCAGGGCGGCGCCGUGUGGUCCUGUCCAGCGCUGAGUUUUAAGGGCCCAGUCCAGUGCUUGGGCCAUAGCAGACAUUCAACAGCUAUUUGGAAAACCCUCACGCCGUCCGCAGGCUUUCCCACCUUGGGAAAUGGCCCCAAUGUCCACCUGUUGCUCAUGCUUGGAACCUGGAAUCAUCCUCGCCCCUGCAUGCAAUCCAUCUGAAAACCCUGCUGAUUCUACUUCCAAACUACCUCUCAAACCUAGGCACUGUCCCCCACCUUCACAGCUGCCAGCGUGCUCCGAGCCACCAUCGUCUCUCACCUGUGUGGUCAUCUUCACCCGAAUCUCUAAACAAAACCAGAGUGGACUUUGAAACGCAAAUCACAACGGUCAAGCCCUGCUUAAAGCUCCUCUCCUUCUUAGGUAGGAAGAAGAAAAAGAACUUGAUCCUGCUUGUUCAUUCUGCCCUUCGGCACACCUUCACAGUAAAACUUAAGCACCGUCUGUCCCUCCGUCUCUUUCUUUCUUCAACUGACUCCAUUCAAGCUUUUGCACUCCCCUCCCCUGCCCCUGCCACACAUACCCUGACCUCCCACCAAGGUCCCCAGUGGCCUCUGAGCUGUUGCGUCAGUGGUCAUUCUUGGUCCACGUCUCCCUCGACCUCUCUUCACAUGGACACAGCCACCUGCCCCCUCCUCCGGGCCUCGCUUUCCUCUCCCGGCCCCCUGGGCAUCCCCUGGCUUGGUUUUCCUCCCUUCUCACAGCUCCCUGCGGCUUUCCUCCUCGGCGCUCUCCCCCUCAGCCCCCUGCUUUGAGGCUCAGUCCCUGGGCCCUCCUCUACCUACACUCAGCUCCUGAGUGGUCCCAAACGGUCUCAUAAUUUUAAAUGUCGUCAAGAUGCAGAGGAUUCCCAAACGUGCACCUCCAGCUGAAAGCCUUGCCUCAAUUCCAGACUCAUCUACCCCCCAAAACUUUCUUGACAUCCCCACUUAAGAAAAAUAACAAGCAUCUCAAACUCAGGCCUAAGACUUAACACCUAAUCUUCCUCCCAAAAUUUACUCCACCCUCAGCCUCCCCAGGACUUCC